UACGUAGGGGGCAAGCGUUGUCCGGAAUUAUUGGGCGUAAAGAGCUCGUAGGCGGUUUGUCGCGUCUGCUGUGAAAUCCCGAGGCUCAACCUCGGGCCUGCAGUGGGUACGGGCAGACUGGAGUGCGGUAGGGGAGAAUGGAAUUCCUGGUGUAGCGGUGGAAUGCGCAGAUAUCAGGAGGAACACCGAUGGCGAAGGCAGUUCUCUGGGCCGAUACUGACGCUGAGGAGCGAAAGCGUGGGGAGCGAACAGG
rnacentral:rRNA from 1 species